rnacentral:rRNA from 1 species
AAUGAACGCUGGCGGCAGGCUUAACACAUGCAAGUCGAGCGAGUGGCGGACGUGUGAGUAAUGCAUGUGAAUCGUGCUUAGGGAGGGGGAUAACUACGGGAAACUGUUGCUAAUACCGCGUACCAUAGGAUGAGCCCAAUUGGGAUUAGGUAGUUGGGGGGGUAAAGGCUCACCAAGCCGACGAUCUCUAGCUGGUCUGAGAGGAUGACCAGCCACACUGGAACUUAGACACGGUCCAGACUCCUACGGGAGGCAGCAGUGGGGAAUAUUGCGCAAUGGGCGCAAGCUGAUGCAGCCAUGCCGCGUGAAUGAAGAAGGCCUUCGGGUUGUAAAGUACUUUAAGUAGGGAGGCGUUACCAACAGAAGAAGCACCGGCUAACUCCGUGCCAGCAGCCGCGGUAAUAC